UUAUUUUCCUCAAAUAUUCUCUGUUUUUCAGAAUAUUUUAAGAAAUUAAGAAAUACUCCAGUUCAUACUUCCCAAGUAAGACUCAGUUUUUUGAUUAAUCAAGAAUGGAAGCAGGUGAAGAAAAAAUGGAAGUUUACCCUUUUCAUCUUCUCCUCAGGACUUUACCUGCAAUAGCAUCCUUCCUUGCCCUUGGUAUUUGCUCUGUCAUCAAUGGUCCUUCUCUUCUAGAUCUAAGGGACUUACUGGAUUCCACCAUUGGAGAGAUAUCUUUCUUAUUUAUGCUGGGAUCUAUUGGAACUAUGUCUGGAUGCUUUGUAUUGGGACUACUUAUGGACAGAUUUGUCAGGUUACGCUACCUUAUAAUUGGGUUGUUGGUGGCAGGGCUGGGACUCUUCACAUCUUCUAUUCCGUAUUCUCAGAAUCUGGUUACUCUAUACUGUCUAGGAUUUUUUAGUGGAUUUUGUGGUGGAGCAUUAGAUGCAGGAGCUCAGGUCUUACUGCUAAAUAUUUGGAAAGGGAGGGAAUCAGGACCUUACAUGCAUACUCUACAUUUUAUGUUUGGAGUCGGAGCGUUCAUAGCCCCUGUUAUAGCUAAACCUUUUCUGAGCAAUGUUGAAGAAGUUUUGGAGAAUGAGAACGCGACUGUUACUGAAAACUUUACUUCUUUUGUAAAUUCUACAACAUCUGAAAACUCCAAUAGGUCUGCAUUCACAAAGAUGGAGGGGCUUUCUGAUCUUGCCACGUAUAUCUCCUACAAUGGAUCUUCAGAAAUGGAUCUGGAUUUGAUUGGAAACAGUUUGACAAUAAAAACUCUCUAUCCGCUUAUCGGACUCUUUACUUCUAGUAUUAGCUUAGGGUUUUUCUUCUACCAAUUUAUGGAUAUGGAAAAUCCGGUUGAUGCUGAUUUGAAGGAAGAAGAAAAGCAAUCUGAUAAACAGUCCUCGCCUGUAGGCAGAAAAAUGCUAGUUUUGGUCAUUCUUAUGAUUUUCUUCUUCUUCUAUGUUGGAUUAGAAGUUGCCUUUGGAACAUUUCUCACAACAUUUGCGGUCAAAUGCAAGCUAGGUUUAAGCCGAGGAGAGGGUUCCUACCUUACUGCUGUAUUCUGGGGAUCCUUUGCUUGUAUGCGGGGAGUAGCUAUUCCAGCAGCAAUUUACAUUAAACCUGAGAUUAUCAUGUUCUCCUCCUGUUUCCUAUGUGUAGUUGGAUCUGUGUUCCUAAGCGUUUUUGCUGAAACAUAUGUUUACCUUCUGUACACCUGCACUGCAGUUAUGGGGAUAGGGAUGGCCUCGAUUUUUGCAACAGGUUUACUGUGGUUGGAGAAAAGGAUGGAAAUAACAAAUAGAAUUGGAGCUGUCAUGACUAUAUCAGCUGCACUGGGAGCUAAAAUAUUCCCUGUAAUGGUCGGACAAACUGUAGAGAAAUAUCCAAUGAGUUUCAUGUAUAUCAUGUUGGGAAUAUCUACAGGUUGCACUAUUCUGUUUGUCAGUACCAGUAUACUAGGACGAGAUCUGGAGAAAACCAACCUUGAACUUGCCUUAGACCCUAAAGAGGAGGAGGAGCUCCCUCUCAACCCUAUCAUCAAAAUCAACCCUGAAUCUGACCUAGCAAACCUCAAGUCGUCAAAAGCAGCAGAAGUUGAAUUGGCUUUAAUAACCCCUAAAUCUAGUCAAUAGACUCGUUUUAAGUUUUACAUAUCUUCUUCAAUAAUGAAAGGGAGCUCAAAUCAGAUUUCGAAGCUAAUAUCCAAAUAGCCAAUAUACUGAACUUUAUAUCCACAUCGUAAACUAGAACAAAUAGUGGCUUUACUGGAAAUCCACCAAAAGAUUAUUAAGAAAUAAUUAAAAGAAAAGGUUUGGCUGUAUAAUUAAUAAUUAUAUUUCAACCUAAAUUGAACCGCGCGAGGGGAGAAUGAAACCCGUGUUAAAAAGGUUUUGAACUCUGAACUAACUUAUCAACAUCAUUCAUAUGGAUAUAUUGUGCCAUGCCCUGACAGCAGUUUUAUAUUUAGUUUCCUUUCAGAUUUAUCCAAUGCAUUUACCGCUUUUUCAAGUUAAUUAAAUGUGAUUCAUGUUUUACCAAACCAACUUUUUACCUAUUAUGUUUACAACUUUAUACAUUACAUCGUUGUUUGUUCUGUAAUCUAUAUUUAAUUGUUAUUUAAUUCGACCUCGUCUGUGACACUCAUCCCGGUUUUUCCAAAAAUUUACAAUUUUUAUUCGUUUCAGA
rnacentral:misc_RNA from 1 species